AUGUAAUCAGCUCAUGUAGUGUAUUGUCCAGUCAACUGAUGGUAGCGAGGUUGACUCGUCAACGACACACGUACUUAGGUAUCGUCAUGAGCUAAUGUUCACAUGUAAUCAGCUCAUGUAGUGUAUUGUCCAGUCAACUGAUGGUAGCGAGGUUGACUUGUCAACGACACACGUACUUAGGUAUCGUCAUGAGCUAAUGUUCACAUGUAAUCAGCUCAUGUAGUGUAUUGUCCAGUCAACUGAUGGUAGCGAGGUUGACUCGUCAACGACACACGUACUUAGGUAUCGUCAUGAGCUAAUGUUCACAUGUAAUCAGCUCAUGUAGUGUAUUGUCCAGUCAACUGAUGGUAGCGAGGUUGACUUGUCAACGACACACGUACUUAGGUAUCGUCAUGAGCUAAUGUUCACAUGUAAUCAGCUCAUGUAGUGUAUUGUCCAGUCAACUGAUGGUAGCGAGGUUGACUCGUCAACGACACACGUACUUAGGUAUCGUCAUGAGCUAAUGUUCACAUGUAAUCAGCUCAUGUAGUGUAUUGUCCAGUCAACUGAUGGUAGCGAGGUUGACUCGUCAACGACACACGUACUUAGGUAUCGUCAUGAGCUAAUGUUCACAUGUAAU